rnacentral:rRNA from 1 species
UACGAAGGGGGGCUAGCGUUGCUCGGAAUCACUGGGCGUAAAGCGCACGUAGGCGGCUUUCUAAGUCAGGGGUGAAAUCCUGGAGCUCAACUCCAGAACUGCCUUUGAUACUGAAGAUCUUGAGUUCGGGAGAGGUGAGUGGAACUGCGAGUGUAGAGGUGAAAUUCGUAGAUAUUCGCAAGAACACCAGUGGCGAAGGCGGCUCACUGGCCCGAUACUGACGCUGAGGCACGAAAGCGUGGGGAGCAAACAGGG